AGUGGAACUCGGUCCUGUCCCUGAUCAGAUGGUUUCCAUGGUCUGUAGAGAGAAAGAGAGAGAGAAUGAGAGAGAGAGAGAGAGAGAGAGCAGAGAUAAUUAGAGUGAGUUGACUGAGCUUGUACCCUGCUUUUGAAGAUGCCAGUUAAACUCACACCAGCUGCAUAAAAGGACGAGGGCUUUUUGUGCUCAGGAGACAUAACUUACCAGUGUUUGCCAGUGGAAAGAAUGGAAGUACUGGGAACUGAUACAGUUGGCAGAAAGAGACAGGAUGGCCAUGAUGGAGUAGGAUGACAGGGAACGCUGGUGCGUGAGAAUCUCACAGGGAUUUCUCCCAAAGUGCUGAGCUGGAGAGAGCGAGUGUGCUGGGAAAACGCUGAGUGAUUCACUGUGUGUGUUUAUUGUGUGUGAUGCUAAUCACAUAGUUCACACACUGAGGGAGAGGUGUGAGACGUGGGAAAAAACGCACACAGUGAUAGGGGCGUCUGUUGAGCACGCUGUUCGUUCCAAAUACUUCACUUUAAAAAAACUUUUCUAUUUUAUCUCGUCAUAGCAGGCCACGCUGGCCUUUCUCUCAGAGUUCUCUCAGGACAUCUUCUUUUUAUCCUACAUCAUUAUUGGACAUCAUUCAAAGUGGAUCAGCCAAGGAUUUAUUUUUUUUUUUAUGUCGACUCUUUUGGAGACAGUGCUAGUGCGGGAGCCACUGCUGGGAACCGGAGAACCAUUUUAUUUUUUAUUUUUUUGGAGAAAAGACCCACAUUAAACAUUUACGUAAUUAGAAUAAUAGCAGCCAUGGAAGAUUUUACAAGUUUCUUUGGUUUUGAGGAGAUAUUUUACCACCCAAAAUCAACAUGUUCAGGAUCUACACACACAUCAUUACAGCCCAUGAUUACACAUAAUUAGUCUUUGCAAUGUGAAGUCAUGAUGCAGUGUCUGAUGGGUAGAAAUCAGCACUUUGGUUUUGGUACUGCUAGUCAGUCAUGUAGUGACAGAUUCGGCCUAGCUAAUUGUACGCAAUAAAAGUUCUGAGUUUCUGAGUAUUUACAUAUAAAGGACUGGAAAAAUCAAGGAGGAACAGUAAUGCAGGAAUAUGAUUCUAUGUUAUAUAUAAAUGAUAUUUAGUAUUCCAUGCACUACAAUAGCAUACAAUGUUUAGCCUUGCAGGAAUACCGGAGGCUGUCAUGACUGAGCUAUGAAAAAUUUACUUACAAACUGACAUGCAUUUUAAUUGACAGAUUUGCGGGAAAAUAUCACUUCAUCUUAUCAGUGUGCCGUUAUUAUUUUGAAAAGUGCUACCAUUUCUUUAAACUGCUGUAAUAUUAUCAUUAUAAGUGAAAUUAUAUGUUAAUAUUAAAUUGAUAUAUAAGUUACCCAUUAGGUCCUUCUUGGCACAAUUCCACUUACACUAUAAACAGAAAGGAUAUUAUUUCUAACCAAGCUAUCUGGUUUCAUCCAAAUGAGGAUGAGGUUCCCUUUUGAGUCUGGUUCCUCUCAAGGUUUCUUCCUUAUAUAGUCUCAUGGAGUUUUUCCUCACCACUGCCACCUCUGUCUUACUCAUUGGAGAUACAUAUUAAUUUAAUUUUAAACUU